rnacentral:rRNA from 1 species
UCAGGCCUAACACAUGCAAGUCGAGCGGAAACGAGUUAUCUGAACCUUCGGGGAACGAUAACGGCGUCGAGCGGCGGACGGGUGAGUAAUGCCUAGGAAAUUGCCCUGAUGUGGGGGAUAACCAUUGGAAACGAUGGCUAAUACCGCAUGAUGCCUACGGGCCAAAGAGGGGGACCUUCGGGCCUCUCGCGUCAGGAUAUGCCUAGGUGGGAUUAGCUAGUUGGUGAGGUAAGGGCUCACCAAGGCGACGAUCCCUAGCUGGUCUGAGAGGAUGAUCAGCCACACUGGAACUGAGACACGGUCCAGACUCCUACGGGAGGCAGCAGUGGGGAAUAUUGCACAAUGGGCGCAAGCCUGAUGCAGCCAUGCCGCGUGUGUGAAGAAGGCCUUCGGGUUGUAAAGCACUUUCAGUCGUGAGGAAGGCGGGUACGUUUAUAGCGUAUUCGUUUGACGUUAGCGACAGAAGAAGCACCGGCUAACUCCGUGCCAGCAGCCGCGGUAAUACGGAGGGUGCGAGCGUUAAUCGGAAUUACUGGGCGUAAAGCGCAUGCAGGUGGUUUGUUAAGUCAGAUGUGAAAGCCCGGGGCUCAACCUCGGAAUAGCAUUUGAAACUGGCAGACUAGAGUACUGUAGAGGGGGGUAGAAUUUCA